UGCAAACCAAAAGCAUGGCUUCCCUUUCACCUUAUUUCUCUCUCCCUCUCUUGGGGCUCCUUUUGGCAAUGGCUUCCUCCUUAUUGGAGUUUGCCAAUGGAUCCGACCUCCCAGCACCUGUCCAAAUCCCAACAAUUCCCUUCUCUCCUCAGUCUUGCUCCAUCAAUGACUGGGUCACUGGUAGGUGCAAGACUCCACCGAAAAGGACACCACCACCACCACCACCAAUGGGUGAAGAUUGCCCACCAAAGGGACCACCACCUUACCCUAAAGCUCCACCACCAAAAGCUCCUCCUCCACCUCGUGGAGUCCCACCUAAAGCUCCUCCACCGAAUGCUCCUCCUCCGAGAAAUGGCGUUCCACCUAAAGCUCCUCCGCCUGAUCCCAGGGUUCCACCGAGGACUCCACCUCCUAGCACUGGGGUACCACCAAAGGCGCCUCCCCCAGGUACUGGAGUGCCACCUAAGGUUCCACCUCCAAAUACCGGAGUACCACCCAAGGCUCCUCCACCGCGUGGUGGUGUUCCACCAAAGGCGCCUCCACCAGGUACUGGAGUGCCACCUACGGCUCCACCUCCAAAUACCAGAGUACCACCCAAGGCUCCCCCGCCACUCGGUGGUGUUCCACCAAAGGCGCCUCCCCCAGGUACUGGAGUGCCACCUAAGGCUCCUCCACCAUAUACUGGUGUUCCACCAAAGGCUCCUCCUCCAGGUACCAGUGUUCCACCGAAGGCUCCUCCAGUAGACCCUUAUGCACCCCCUCCAUAUGAAUCUAACGAACCUCCAUGCUCUUAUACGAGCCCACCGCCACCGCCGUCACCACCACCACCACCACCAUGCCGCAGGGGAAGAUGUCCCUGGACACCUCCUAGUGCUCAAGCCCUAACUAAUGCAUAACUUCCGGAGGGAGUUCUUGAGAUUGAGUACUUAUUUAGUAAUUAGUAAGUGACAUAGUCUAAGAUGCCUAAUAAGGUUCCGAUUUUCUGUGUGUUUGCCUUUGGUUUUAGUAUAGCCAUGGGGGAUGGAAAAUUGUAGUCCUUAAGCUUAUCACUGCUCAUUGAAACGAUGGACAAUUGAUUGGGGAAUAGUGGGACCCUUUAUUUCCAUCUCGCCGUGUUACACGUGUCCCAUUCUUCCUCUCCAUCACCACCCAACAAUUUAAUCGAAGAGAACGGUCUCAAGGAUACAAAGACCAUGGUUCUUUCUCUUUUUGCUACCAUCCAUUUUGAAUGGAGGGUUAAGAUUGCCCCAAUCACAAUGUCACGUCUUUACACUAUUUUAUAUUUAAUUUCUUUUCUAUAAACUAUUUUGACACCAAAUUUUAGACAUCCAUUACUCUCUUAAAUUGGCACCAGCAAAAAAUCUAAAAAAAAAUAUUUUCAAUAAAAUAAAUGAUC
rnacentral:lncRNA from 1 species